UACGUAGGGGGCAAGCGUUGUCCGGAAUCAUUGGGCGUAAAGAGCGUGUAGGCGGCCCGAUAAGUCCGCUGUGAAAGUCCAGGGCUCAACCCUGGAAUGCCGGUGGAUACUGUCGGGCUCGAAUCCGGAAGAGGUGAGUGGAAUUCCUGGUGUAGCGGUUAAAUGCGCAGAUAUCAGGAGGAACACCAAUGGCGAAGGCAGCUCACUGGGACGGUAUUGACGCUGAGACGCGAAAGCGUGGGGAGCAAACAGG
rnacentral:rRNA from 1 species